GGGCAGCUGAAAGUUUAUUGGAAGAUAAGUAGGGAGGAUAAAAGUCUGGGUGAGGUUGGCUCUUUCAGGGUGAAAUUGUGAAGUCUGUUAGUUUAUGGUAGGGUCAAGCUUGGUCAGAGGGUUCUGAUUCUUUGGAUUCUGGGGGAUAAAAUAGGAUUAGAUACCCUACUAUACCCAGUUGGAAAUGUUUAUUUCCGGAGUAGUAAACAGAUAUGAUCUCGAAACUCAAAGGAUUUGGCGGUAUCUAAGUCUAGUUAGAGGAACUUGCACAGUAAACGAUAGUCCGCGAGAAUCUAGCCCUGGUUUGUAAUUUCUCAGUCUGUAUACCGCCAUUAUUAGAUAAUUCCGGUAGGGGUUUAUUGUAAUAAGGUUUGCUUAGGAUAUUAGGUCAAGGUGCAGCUUAUACUAGGGAUGUUGUGAGUUACAUUGGAAUAAGUGUGUAAACGGAUAGGGUGAGGGAGGAGUCGUCCUUGAAGGUGGAUUUAAUAGUAAUAUGGUGUAAAUGUCACUCGUAUGAUAGGGGCUCUUGGAUAUGUACACAUCGCCCGUCGCCCUCACUUU
rnacentral:rRNA from 1 species